GCACGGAGAAAGUCCGGCAAGCACAAGACUGCAAGCACCUGCAUGUCGUCAAUCCCGACUGGCUGUGGAGCUGCCUGGAGCGCUGGGACAAGGUGGAAGAGCAACUGUUCCCGCUCAAGGAGGAUUACGUCAAAACCCAAAGGGAGAACAGCCCCGCGACGUUUCCGGACACUCAGAGUGCGUUUCAAACGGCCCUGUUCCACCCGACGCCCAUCCACCCCAAGUGCCAGCCGGGGCCCGAGGUUCGGAUUUACGAUCCCAACACGGGGAAGCUCAUCAGGAAGGGCUCUCAGAAUCCGGGGCAGUCCCUGUACAUCCAGCCUCCGGCUCCCCCCCUCACACUGCCGGUCCACGGGGAACACUCGUCUUUCAGAGUCGUUCAACCACAUCAACAGCAGCUGUUUGGAGAAGAAGAGCUGCCAGCAAACCAAGACGGAGAGCAGCCCGGCCCAUCCCGACGCAAACGCCAGCCAAGUAUGUCUGAGACCAUGCCGCUCUACACACUGUGUAAGGAGGAUUUAG
rnacentral:lncRNA from 1 species